rnacentral:rRNA from 1 species
CACUGAGACUCCUACGGGAGGCAGCAGUGGGGAAUAUUGCACAAUGGGCGCAAGCCUGAUGCAGCCAUGCCGCGUGUAUGAAGAAGGCCUUCGGGUUGUAAAGUACUUUCAGCAGUGAGGAAGGUGGUAGUGUUAAUAGCACUAUCAUUUGACGUUAGCUGCAGAAGAAGCACCGGCUAACUCCGUGCCAGCAGCCGCGGUAAUACGGAGGGUGCGAGCGUUAAUCGGAAUUACUGGGCGUAAAGCGCAUGCAGGCGGCCUGUUAAGUCAGAUGUGAAAGCCCGGGGCUUAACCUCGGAAUUGCAUUUGAAACUGGCAGGCUAGAGUCUUGUAGAGGGGGUAGAAUUUCAGGUGUAGCGGUGAAAAUGCGUAGAGAUCUGAAGGAAUACCAGUGGCGAAGGCGGCCCCCUGGACAAAGACUGACGCUCAGAUGCGAAAGCGUGGGGAGCAAACAGGAUUAGAUACCCUGGUAG